rnacentral:lncRNA from 1 species
GGGCACUCGAGCAGGUUUAGCUGAUGGCUUUAUGCAGAUUCUUUUCAAAAGAAGGCUCCGAGGUUGACAGUGUCCUCAUUGAUAGGGGCUAAAAAGUGCAAGGAACUUCUGAGGUCUAAAGAUAGGUGCAGGUAGCAAGCAGGCAGCAGGCAGCACAGUGCUGUGGCCAAUUAUACAAGAUAACAGUCCCUGGAAGAAACUGCAAAACUGCAUAAAUAAAAGACGCGGCUCUGGAAAAUGCUGUGCCACUGCCACAUCUGCAAUGAAAACGCGAGAACACAGAAUUUGAAGGAUGUGACAGCUGAUAUAAAACAAGACUGCUGAAAACAGAUGUUUUCAUAUAACUUCUCUUUCAGAUAGUAGGUCCUGAAGGCUGUGUGAUUCAGUGCUUCUAGUGCAGUGUGAGACUGGAAACUGAAUAUGUCCUGACUAAAGGAAAAAAAAAUGGAGUUGUGCAGCAUGGGCCUUCCUAUCAUUUCCUUGGAUUUCUUGCAGCCAGGUGGCUGUUAGGCUUGUCCCCAUGAAGAGCCUCCUGAAGUCAGUCCCAGAAUCUGCAGUGCGUGACGUGACAAAUGCUUCCUGUUUUGUCUCUUUUGAGGUCUUGUGGAGGUAAGUUAUUUCACACUGCUGUGACAGUCUCCAAGGGAGAGGGAAACACCCUCUCCAGACUGCUCAAAGAAAGCUCAGAAAAACAAACAGAAAGAGCACAGCCUCACCCCCCUCCAUCUGUCCUCAUAACUCUUCAGUACAGCUGAAGGAGAGCGCUCCCUUGUCUCCAACUGUUGGUGGCAGGAGAAAAUACUAGCAGAGUUUGGGUUUGGGAGGAGGUUUGGUGGAGGUGAGGCACUAGGAACUCUUGGAAUGGAAAACUGGUGCUUCUAAGCAUUUAAAUCCCCUUGCUUUUCCUGUGGGUUUCUUUUUUUCAUAUAAGCACCUGAGCAGA